UACGUAGGGGGCAAGCGUUAUCCGGAAUUACUGGGUGUAAAGGGUGCGUAGGUGGUAUGGCAAGUCAGGAGUGAAAACCCAGGGCUUAACUCUGGGACUGCUUUUGAAACUGUCAGACUGGAGUGCAGGAGAGGUAAGCGGAAUUCCUAGUGUAGCGGUGAAAUGCGUAGAUAUUAGGAGGAACAUCAGUGGCGAAGGCGGCUUACUGGACUGAAACUGACACUGAGGCACGAAAGCGUGGGGAGCAAACAGG
rnacentral:rRNA from 1 species